rnacentral:rRNA from 1 species
AACGCUGGCAGCGCGCUUAACACAUGCAAGUCGAGCGAGAACCGGGACUUCGGUCCCGGGGACAGCGGCGAACGGGUGAGUGACACGUGGGUAAUCUGCCCUCGAUUCUGGGAUAGCCCGGGGAAACCCGGAUUAAUACCGGAUAGCCUUUCGAGCCUUCGGGCGCGAAAGAAAAGGUAGCUUCGGCCUCCGAUCGAGGAUGAGCCCGCGGUGGAUUAGCUUGUUGGUGGGGUAAUGGCUCACCAAGGCGACGAUCCAUAGCUGGUCUGAGAGGACGAUCAGCCACACUGGGACUGAGACACGGCCCAGACACCUGCGGGAGGGAGCAGUGGGGAAUCUUGCGCAAUGGGCGAAAGCCUGACGCAGCGAAGCCGCGUGGGGGAAGAAGGCCUUAGGGUUGUAAACCUCUUUCAGGCGGGACGAAGCCACUCGGGUGAAUAGCCCAGAGGGUGACGGUACCGCCAGAAGAAGCCCCGGCUAGCUACGUGCCAGCCGCCGCGGUAAAAC